rnacentral:rRNA from 1 species
GACGAACGCUGGCGGCGUGCUUAACACAUGCAAGUCGAACGGAAGGGCCCUGCUUUUGUGGGGUGCUCGAGUGGCGAACGGGUGAGUAACACGUGAGUAACCUGCCCUUGACUUUGGGAUAACUUCAGGAAACUGGGGCUAAUACCGGAUAGGAGCUCCUGCUGCAUGGUGGGGGUUGGAAAGUUUCGGCGGUUGGGGAUGGACUCGCGGCUUAUCAGCUUGUUGGUGGGGUAGUGGCUUACCAAGGCUUUGACGGGUAGCCGGCCUGAGAGGGUGACCGGCCACAUUGGGACUGAGAUACGGCCCAGACUCCUACGAGAGGCAGCAGUGGGGAAUAUUGCACAAUGGGCGGAAGCCUGAUGCAGCAACGCCGCGUGCGGGAUGACGGCCUUCGGGUUGUAAACCGCUUUCGCCUGUGACGAAGCGUGAGUGACGGUAAUGGGUAAAGAAGCACCGGCUAACUACGUG